rnacentral:rRNA from 1 species
GACGAACCGUGCGAACGUUGUUCGGAAUCACUGGGCUUAAAGGGCGCGUAGGCGGGCGGUCAAGUCGGAGGUGAAAGCCUGCAGCUCAACUGCAGAAGUGCCCCCCGAUACUGAUGGCCUCGAGGGAGGUAGGGGCGUGCGGAACUUCCGGUGGAGCGGUGAAAUGCGUAGAUAUCGGAAGGAACACCGGUGGCGAAAGCGGCGCGCUGGACCUCUUCUGACGCUGAGGCGCGAAAGCCAGGGGAGCAAACGGG